GGACCCGCACAAGCAGCGGAGCAUGUGGUUUAAUUCGAAGCAACGCGAAGAACCUUACCAGGACUUGACAUCCUUCUGACAGGCAUUUAACAGUGCUUUUCCUUCGGGACAGAAGUGACAGGUGGUGCAUGGUUGUCGUCAGCUCGUGUCGUGAGAUGUUGGGUUAAGUCCCGCAACGAGCGCAACCCUUGUCAUUAGUUGCCAUCAGGUUAAGCUGGGCACUCUAAUGAGACUGCCGGGGAUAACUCGGAGGAAGGUGGGGAUGACGUCAAAUCAUCAUGCCCCUUAUGUUCUGGGCUACACACGUGCUACAAUGGCCGGUACAAAGAGAAGCAAUAUCGCGAGGUGGAGCAAAUCAGGAAAACCGGUCCCAGUUCGGAUUGUAGGCUGAAACUCGCCUGCAUGAAGUCGGAGUUGCUAGUAAUCGUGAAUCAGAAUGUCA
rnacentral:rRNA from 1 species